rnacentral:lncRNA from 1 species
GCUCUUUGAAGAACACAUGACUUUAGGAGUACCACUGUCCUGAAUCUAAUUAAACCUUUCCACCAAACUUGCAGUUUACAGGACUACAGGGGAUGAAGGGUUAGAAAGGAUGAUGAUCCAAGGACCCAGUGAGACAAACCGAGAGUGUGAGGUGGUUUACCAGAUGCCUGCUCUGGUGCCUUCCAACAGACACUGCCACAAGAAAGGUGAGGUGUUCCACGUAAACAACAGGAUCGAACUCAGGCCCUUGCACUUGCAAGGCAGGUGUGGCACCACUGAGCUAAAUCCCAGGCCCUUGAAAGUUAUUUAAGAUUUUGAAAAUCCCAAAGAAUCUACUAAAAACUAUUAGAAUUAGAAAAUGAGUUCAGCAAAGUUGAGGGCAUAAGAUCAAUAUAAAAUGAUCAAUUGUGUUUUUUUGUUUGUUUGUUUUGUUUUUUGGUACCGGGGAUCAAACUCGGGACCUUGUGCUUGUGAGGCAGA